rnacentral:rRNA from 1 species
CCUUGUACACACCGCCCGUCACACCAUGGGAGUCGAUUGCUCCAGAAGUGGCUAAGCCAACCCGCAAGGGAGGCAGGCCCCAAGGAGUGGUUGGUAACCGGGGUG